CAGGCUUAACACAUGCAAGUCGAGGGGCAGCAUGGUCUUAGCUUGCUAAGGCCGAUGGCGACCGGCGCACGGGUGAGUAACGCGUAUCCAACCUGCCUUACACUCUUGGACAGCCUUCUGAAAGGGAGAUUAAUACAAGAUGUUAUCAUGAGUAAGCAUUUUCGCAUGAUUAAAGGUUUACCGGUGUAAGAUGGGGAUGCGUUCCAUUAGAUAGUAGGCGGGGUAACGGCCCACCUAGUCUUCGAUGGAUAGGGGUUCUGAGAGGAAGGCCCCCCACAUUGGAACUGAGACACGGUCCAAACUCCUACGGGAGGCAGCAGUGAGGAAUAUUGGUCAAUGGACGAGAGUCUGAACCAGCCAAGUAGCGUGAAGGAUGAAGGUUCUAUGGAUUGUAAGCUUCUUUUAUACGGGAAUAAACGAAUCCACGCGUGGAUUUUUGCAUGUACCGUAUGAAUAAGGAUCGGCUAACUCCGUGCCAGCAGCCGCGGUAAUACGGAGGAUCCGAGCGUUAUCCGGAUUUAUUGGGUUUAAAGGGAGCGUAGAUGGGUUGUUAAGUCAGUUGUGAAAGUUUGCGGCUCAACCGUAAAAUUGCAAUUGAUACUGGCAGUCUUGAGUACAGUUGAGGUAGGCGGAAUUCGUGGUGUAGCGGUGAAAUGCUUAGAUAUCACGAAGAACUCCGAUUGCGAAGGCAGCUUACUAACCUGUAACUGACAUUGAUGCUCGAAAGUGUGGGUAUCAAACAGGAUUAGAUACCCUGGUAGUCCACACGGUAAACGAUGAAUACUCGCUGUAGGCGAUAUACAGUCUGCGGCCAAGCGAAAGCAUUAAGUAUUCCACCUGGGGAGUACGCCGGCAACGGUGAAACUCAAAGGAAUUGACGGGGGCCCGCACAAGCGGAGGAACAUGUGGUUUAAUUCGAUGAUACGCGAGGAACCUUACCCGGGCUUAAAUUGCAACCGAAUAUGGCGGAAACGCUAUAGCUAGCAAUAGCGGUUGUGAAGGUGCUGCAUGGUUGUCGUCAGCUCGUGCCGUGAGGUGUCGGCUUAAGUGCCAUAACGAGCGCAACCCUUGCCGAUAGUUACUAACAGGUCAUGCUGAGGACUCUGUCGGGACUGCCAUCGUAAGAUGUGAGGAAGGUGGGGAUGACGUCAAAUCAGCACGGCCCUUACGUCCGGGGCUACACACGUGUUACAAUGGGGGGUACAGAGGGCUGCUACCACGCAAGUGGAUGCCAAUCCCAAAAACCUCUCUCAGUUCGGAUUGAAGUCUGCAACCCGACUUCAUGAAGCUGGAUUCGCUAGUAAUCGCGCAUCAGCCACGGCGCGGUGAAUACGUUCCCGGGCCUUGUACACACCGCCCGUCAAGCCAUGGGAGCCGGGGGUACCUGAAGUGCGUAACCGCAAGGAGCGCCCUAGGGUAAAACUGGUGACUGGGGC
rnacentral:rRNA from 1 species